rnacentral:rRNA from 1 species
UACGUAGGGGGCAAGCGUUAUCCGGAUUUACUGGGUGUAAAGGGAGCGUAGACGGCAAUGCAAGUCUGAAGUGAAAGCCCGGGGCUCAACCCCGGGACUGCUUUGGAAACUGUAUGGCUGGAGUGCUGGAGAGGCAAGCGGAAUUCCUAGUGUAGCGGUGAAAUGCGUAGAUAUUAGGAAGAACACCAGUGGCGAAGGCGGCUUGCUGGACAGUAACUGACGUUGAGGCUCGAAAGCGUGGGGAGCAAACAGG